rnacentral:rRNA from 1 species
GUGGGGAAUCUUGCGCAAUGGGCGAAAGCCUGACGCAGCCAUGCCGCGUGAAUGAUGAAGGUCUUAGGAUUGUAAAAUUCUUUCACCGGGGACGAUAAUGACGGUACCCGGAGAAGAAGCUCCGGCUAACUUCGUGCCAGCAGCCGCGGUAAUACGACGGGGGCUAGCGUUGCUCGGAAUUACUGGGCGUAAAGGGCGCGUAGGCGGACAGCUUAGUCAGAGGUGAAAGCCCAGGGCUCAACCUUGGAAUUGCCUUUGAUACUGGCUGUCUUGAGUUUGGGAGAGGUGAGUGGAACUCCGAGUGUAGAGGUGAAAUUCGUAGAUAUUCGGAAGAACACCAGUGGCGAAGGCGACUCACUGGCCCAAUACUGACGCUGAGGCGCGAAAGCGUGGGGAGCAAACAGGAUUAGAAACCCGGGUAGUCC